CUCCGGCCUUGGUGGUUUCUGGUGCAGGAACUGAGAGACCCUUUGGUGUUCUACCUGGAGGCGUGGCUGGCGGAUGAGAUCUUGAGUGAGUGACCUUAGGCCCAGACCAAGCUGUAAUUCCAGAAGUGGCGUGGAUGCGCCAGGCCCUGCUGGUGGUGGACAUAGUGGACUCCAAGAACCUAGUCGAAAUAAUGGUUUUUGGAUGGCUCUGAGUACAGAAUCGGGUGAAGAGCAUGCUCCUGUGCCUGGCAUGGUUUCACCGAGAACACUGUGCCCAAGCUGAGAAGAUAAAACACCUUGAGAAGAACUUGAAUGCCCAUGCCUCAGGCCCCCACACUCCCCGGCAUCCUAUUG
rnacentral:lncRNA from 1 species